rnacentral:rRNA from 1 species
GAUGAACGCUGGCGGCGUGCCUAAUACAUGCAAGUCAAGCGAACAGAUAAGGAGCUUGCUCCUUUGAAGUUAGCGGCGGACGGGUGAGUAACACGUGGGUAACCUACCUAUAAGACUGGGAUAACUUCGGGAAACCGGAGCUAAUACCGGAUAACAUUUAGAACCGCAUGGUUCUAAAGUGAAAGAUGGUUUUGCUAUCACUUAUAGAUGGACCCGCGCCGUAUUAGCUAGUUGGUAAGGUAACGGCUUACCAAGGCGACGAUACGUAGCCGACCUGAGAGGGUGAUCGGCCACACUGGAACUGAGACACGGUCCAGACUCCUACGGGAGGCAGCAGUAGGGAAUCUUCCGCAAUGGGCGAAAGCCUGACGGAGCAACGCCGCGUGAGUGAUGAAGGGUUUCGGCUCGUAAAACUCUGUUAUUAGGGAAGAAUAAAUGUGUAAGUAACUGUGCACAUCUUGACGGUACCUAAUCAGAAAGCCACGGCUAACUACGUGCCAGCAGCCGCGGUAAUACGUAGGUGGCAAGCGUUAUCCGGAAUUAUUGGGCGUAAAGCGCGCGUAGGCGGUUUCUUAAGUCUGAUGUGAAAGCCCACGGCUCAACCGUGGAGGGUCAUUGGAAACUGGGAAACUUGAGUGCAGAAGAGGAAAGUGGAAUUCCAUGUGUAGCGGUGAAAUGCGCAGAGAUAUGGAGGAACACCAGUGGCGAAGGCGACUUUCUGGUCUGUAACUGACGCUGAUGUGCGAAAGCGUGGGGAUCAAACAGGAUUAGAUACCCUGGUAGUCCACGCCGUAAACGAUGAGUGCUAAGUGUUAGGGGUUUCCGCCCCUUAGUGCUGCAGCUAACGCAUUAAGCACUCCGCCUGGGGAGUACGACCGCAAGGUUGAAACUCAAAGGAAUUGACGGGGACCCGCACAAGCGGUGGAGCAUGUGGUUUAAUUCGAAGCAACGCGAAGAACCUUACCAAAUCUUGACAUCCUUUGAAAACUCUAGAGAUAGAGCCUUCCCCUUCGGGGGACAAAGUGACAGGUGGUGCAUGGUUGUCGUCAGCUCGUGUCGUGAGAUGUUGGGUUAAGUCCCGCAACGAGCGCAACCCUUAAGCUUAGUUGCCAUCAUUAAGUUGGGCACUCUAGGUUGACUGCCGGUGACAAACCGGAGGAAGGUGGGGAUGACGUCAAAUCAUCAUGCCCCUUAUGAUUUGGGCUACACACGUGCUACAAUGGACAAUACAAAGGGCAGCUAAACCGCGAGGUCAUGCAAAUCCCAUAAAGUUGUUCUCAGUUCGGAUUGUAGUCUGCAACUCGACUACAUGAAGCUGGAAUCGCUAGUAAUCGUAGAUCAGCAUGCUACGGUGAAUACGUUCCCGGGUCU